UUAAAGCCGAUUUUCCAUUAGGCGGAAUUUUGCGCGCGGAGCGGAAUUUUUCUUUGUCUUUUCUAAUUAGUUUCACCCGAGAAAUCACAAGAGAAAGAAAAAGUCCGCUCCGCGCGCAAAAUUCCGCCUAGUGGAAAACCGGCUUAAGUCUUUAAAAGAACAGUUAUGUUUGAGGGCCUAUUUUUUAGAUUCUAAGUUUGAC